UACGGAGGGCGCGAGCGUUAACCGGAAUUACUGGGCGUAAAGCGCGCGUAGGCUGUUGUGUAAGUUGGGGGUGAAAUCCCACGGCUCAACCGUGGAACAGCCCUUGAUACUGCGCGACUUGAAUCCGGGAGAGGGUGGCGGAAUUCCAGGUGUAGGAGUGAAAUCCGUAGAUAUCUGGAGGAACAUCAGUGGCGAAGGCGGCCACCUGGACCGGUAUUGACGCUGAGGCGCGAAAGCGUGGGGAGCAAACAGG
rnacentral:rRNA from 1 species